AACGAACGCUGGCGGCAUGCCUAACACAUGCAAGUCGAACGAGACCUUCGGGUCUAGUGGCGCACGGGUGCGUAACGCGUGGGAACCUGCCCUUAGGUUCGGAAUAACUCCCCGAAAGGGGUGCUAAUACCGGAUAAUGUCUUCGGACCAAAGAUUUAUCGCCUUUGGAUGGGCCCGCGUUGGAUUAGCUAGUUGGUAGGGUAAAAGCCUACCAAGGCGACGAUCCAUAGCUGGUCUGAGAGGAUGAUCAGCCACACUGGGACUGAGACACGGCCCAGACUCCUACGGGAGGCAGCAGUGGGGAAUAUUGGACAAUGGGCGAAAGCCUGAUCCAGCAAUGCCGCGUGAGUGAUGAAGGCCUUAGGAUUGUAAAGCUCUUUUACCCGGGAUGAUAAUGACAGUACCGGGAGAAUAAGCUCCGGCUAACUCCGUG
rnacentral:rRNA from 1 species